GCCCGUUUGGCUUAGGGGUAAAGCGUCUCACUCGUAUUGACGAUAUGAGAAGAUCGGAGGUUCGAAUCCUCCAACGGGCA
rnacentral:tRNA from 1 species